rnacentral:misc_RNA from 1 species
AAGUCGUAACAAGGUUUCCGUAGGUGAACCUGCGGAAGGAUCAUUAUGAAUUAAUAAUAUUUGUGAAUUUACCACAGCAAACAAAAAUCAUACAAUCAAAACAAAAAUAAUUAAAACUUUUAACAAUGGAUCUCUUGGUUCUC